rnacentral:rRNA from 1 species
UGCGAAGGUAGCGUAAUCACUUGUUCUUUAAAUGAGGACUAGUAUGAACGGCACCACGAAGGUUAUACUGUCUCCUUUCUCCAAUCAGUAAAACUAAUCUCCCCGUGAAGAAGCGAGGAUAAAUUUAUAAGACGAGAAGACCCUAUGGAGCUUUAAACUAACCAGCAUUUGCUAUAUACAAAUUUUUAACUUAGACAAUCUAGCCCUCUGACUGGUAAUUUUCGAUUGGGGUGAUCACGGAACAAAAAUAACCUCCGUGUCGAAAGGAUAAACCUGAGCAAAAAGCGACAGCUUUCCGCACUAAAAAAUUAACGUUCAUUGACCCAAUAUUUUGAUCAACGAACCAAGUUACCCUAGGGAUAACAGCGCAAUCUACUUCAAGAGUCCCUAUCGACAAGUAGGUUUACGACCUCGAUGUUGGAUCAGGGUACCCCAGUGGUGCAGCCGCUACUAAAGGUUCGUUUGUUCAACGAUUAAUACCC